rnacentral:rRNA from 1 species
UACGUAGGGUGCAAACGUUGUCCGGAAUUACUGGGUGUAAAGGGUGCACAGGCGGCUUUGUGCGUCAGGGGUAAAAUCCCACUGCUUAACGGUGGGCUUGCCUUUGAUACGGCGGGGCUUGAGUACAAGAGAGGAUGAUAGAAUUCCUGGUGUAGCGGUGAAAUGCGUAGAUAUCAGGAGGAAUACCAGUGGCGAAGGCGGUCAUCCGGCUUGUUUACUGACGCUUAAGCACGAAAGCGUGGGGAUCAAACAGG